AUUGAACGCUGGCGGCAGGCUUAAAACAUGCAAGUCGAACGAGUGGCGGACGGGUGAGUAAUGCUUGGGAAUCUAGCUUAUGGAGGGGGAUAACUACGGGAAACUGUAGCUAAUACCGCGUACCAUAGGAUGAGCCCAAGUGGGAUUAGGUAGUUGGUGAGGUAAAGGGUCACCAAGCCGACGAUCCCUAGCUGGUCUGAGAGGAUGACCACCCACACUGGGGCUGCGACACCGCCCAGACUCCUACGGGAGGCAGCAGUGGGGAAUAGUGCACAAUGGGCGCAAGCCUGAUUCAGCCAUGCCGCGUGUAUGAAGAAGGCCUUCGGGUUGUAAAGUACUUUCAGCGAGGAGGCGUUACUCGCAGAAGAAGCACCGGCUAACUCCGUGCCAGCAGCCGCGGUAAUAC
rnacentral:rRNA from 1 species